UCUGAUGCGAUGAUCGGAAGAGUAAUUAGUAAUGAGUUAAUCAGAGAUGGCUGGAUAGUGCGAACAGCUGAACUGAUUACUAAUGAAAGUAAUCCAGGAGCAAAAGCAGUGAACUUGAGUAGUUGCUUUCGGUUCAUUACCGUUAUCAAUGAUAAAGUGGAAAUGUAAUUACAUUUCAAUUUAGGUGGUACCGCGAGAAGAGCUCGUCCUAUUU
rnacentral:ncRNA from 1 species